UUGGAAAGAAGACUAUGUUCCACAAACGUCCUGUAUCGGUGAUGUGAUCCACCACUCUCGCAAUCCAAAGCCCUGUCUGGUGAGAUCGUGCUGACCAAACCAUGACUUUGUGCCUGUCAACGGGUGCCAUCGCCAGUCACAGAGACUGUUUAGAAAACUCACAGACACCCGUUUCAUCAUCGUUCACAGAAACACCUGUAUCUGACUGUUUCCCAAUGGAAAAGGACAACCUGUCGUCUGCUUGCGAAGGUCAACAGCAGGGGUCAGGAGAUAACAUUAAUGAUGAAUUUAACAAAAUAAACGACGAGAAACCGAACGACAAAAACACGGAUAUCCAAGAUGGCCUACCUGUGGAUCGCGGUUGGGCCUGGGUCAUCAUGAUAGCCAAUUUCAUGAUCGGCUUAACACUCGGGGGAUAUGGCUGUUCUCUCUCAAUCUUCUUCCUGGAGUUUCAGAUCAUGUUCAACGCUUCGGUUACUACGGCAACCAUUACAUUCGCCCUUAUGACUGUGGCUUUUGGAGUAGGGAAUCUGUUGGUGACGAACGUGCUGAUGACGUCAGAGAACACCCGGAAGCUGGUACUAGUAGGCGCGUGCCUGAGUGCCGUGUCCAUCACCUUGUCUUCCUUCUCGCCGACCAUUUCUUUUCUCAUCAUCUGUCACUGUGUUAUGGGGUUCUCACACGCAAUGAUUGUCAUUCCCAGCAUUACGCUCCAGGGACACUACUUUAAAACCAGACGAUCAUUCGCAACAGCUAUUGCUAACACCGGAGGUAGUGUUGCGGGCAUGGUCUUUCCGCCUCUUGUGCAAUACCUUAUCUCGUCCUAUGGGCCGCGCGGCGCCAUCUUGCUUUCAGGGGGCAUAAACAUGCAAGGCAUCGUAGCCGCUUGCUUGUUACGUCCCGUGGUUUUUUAUCAAAAGUUCUCCCCAAAUCAUGCAGACAAGUUAUCGAGCUCAGAGAACUUGCAAAUUAGCGAAAACCAUCUUAUGAGCAAAAGAAUGAAAUGUGAAGACAAGUCUUUAACCGAUGAAAAUCACGUCACAGAAACGACGAUCGAGACAAGGAGGAGACUUUUAGUCGAUAGCGGCUGUUCGCAAGAAAAAGAGGACGACACAGCAGCAGAAGUCCUUCCCGGGACAAAUCAUGUUGCUCUUAAAUUGAACAUCUCUGACAACCAUCAUAACUGGCAUGAGGCGGCAUCAUCUUUGAAAAUUGUGAGAUCUCGCCAACGUUUUCCGACAAUUCUGGGGGCUUUGUUUUCAAAAGGUCGCCCCUGAACAGCAGCUUGUAUAGCUUGGCCAACGCGCCAUCGGCAUCGCUAGUGGACAUCUGCAGGUCAAACCUCAACUUGAGCACCUUGCUCAGCCCGCAGACUCCUGCUGCCUGCGUCGCAGAUGACACUUCCGGUUUGCCACAAACGGACUGUAGAGAGGCUGCAACGAAAUCCUUGGGACAGAGGUACAUGGCAAAGUUUUUGGAGGUCAUGAAUUUUUCCCUAAUGCGGAACUGGAUGUUUCGCCUCAUCCUCACAUACCAGACUCUGGGCUUCACAAUUGGCUUCGUGGGUCUCUACUUUCCAUCUUUGGCAGUACGCAAUGGUCUGUCUCGGGAGGAGGCAGCUCUUCUGAUAUCUGUGAUUGGAGGAGUGGACCUCUUCAGCAAACUGACCAGCGGCCUGGUAGCGGACUUGGGCUGUAUCCGAAGGACACACCUGGUGGCUAUCGCGCUUGUAAUAACAUCAGUAGCUUGCCAUUUCACCAGGUUUUACACCACAUUCGCCACCUUAGCCUUAUUUGCUGUCGUGUUUGGACUUUUCGCCGGAGUCUGCCCUAAUCUUUCAACUGUUGUAAUAAUUGACCUACUUGGACUCGAGCAUCUGGGAAAAUCCAUGGGACUGUUUCUUGUUGUCAACUCCAUCUUUACAACGGCCAACCAUCCCUUGAUUGGUGCUUUGGUCGAGACAACAGGAAGCAUGAUUCUGCCCUUCCAUUACAUCGGCGUGUGUGUGUUCUUGGGUGCCAUUCUGCUUCUUCUCGAACCGUGCGCGCGGAGGCUGGAGGAGAGGCGAGUGCGUGUGGAAAUGGCGAGAACUUCUAUUUGAAUAGCGAUGCUUCUUCGACGCCCGUCUAAUGCCUAAGUUCUUUAUUUUAAUAAAAACCUUUUUUUUUUUUCAUUCUCAUGCUUUACUUCUCAUUGCCCUCUGGAAUAAAUAAAAUCGCUAUCUUAUAUCCUUUUUUGCUGCUUCACAAAUAAAGUUAUAUUGUCUUCGUAUCAAUAUAAUGGCCUUGUCAUAUUUUAUAUACUUCCUCAGAAUCUUGAGUAAACAUUGGUAUAUGUCGUCGAUCACUGGGUUACUGAGAUAUGUUGCUACACCAUUCACCUAUCAUAGAAUGAAUUUUCUUUCCUUAAGCACAAGGCAGAAUCCUAAUCCUAACCAUAGACAGGCUCUUGAAUAUUUUCAGGGAAGGAUUCAUGGAUGCGAAUGCUUUCAUGUAUGAAUGUUAUAUCUUUCUACAUUUUGAUGUACGAACAGUAGUUUCGUUUACUCCUUGUUACACCUCAAGAAUCGUAUUGCCGCAGAUGUACAAACAGGCAAUUAAUAAACUAUACAAG
rnacentral:misc_RNA from 1 species